CAGAGUCUGACGGAGCACGCCGCGUGAGUGAUGAAGGCUUUCGGGUCGUAAAACUCUGUUGUUAGGGAAGAACAAGUGCUAGUUGAAUAAGCUGGCACCUUGACGGUACCUAACCAGAAAGCCACGGCUAACUACGUGCCAGCAGCCGCGGUAAUACGUAGGUGGCAAGCGUUAUCCGGAAUUAUUGGGCGUAAAGCGCGCGCAGGUGGUUUCUUAAGUCUGAUGUGAAAGCCCACGGCUCAACCGUGGAGGGUCAUUGGAAACUGGGAGACUUGAGUGCAGAAGAGGAAAGUGGAAUUCCAUGUGUAGCGGUGAAAUGCGUAGAGAUAUGGAGGAACACCAGUGGCGAAGGCGACUUUCUGGUCUGUAACUGACACUGAGGCGCGAAAGCGUGGGGAGCAAACAGGAUUAGAUACCC
rnacentral:rRNA from 1 species